rfam:Medicago truncatula strain A17 unplaced genomic scaffold scaffold2010, whole genome shotgun sequence.
UUUUGGUCCCCUAUGUAUUGGAUCUUUGGCAGUUUUUUGGCCCCCAAGGCCACUUUUGACUUAAUCUACGUUAACGUGGCACCCACAAUGGUCGACGCGUGGCACCUCACUUAAGGGAUAUGAGUGCCACGUCAGGGAAGACUAAGUCAAAAGUGACAUUGGGGGCCAAAACUGCCAAAGAUCUAAUACAUAGGGGGCUGUUU